rnacentral:rRNA from 1 species
AGUGGCGACCGGGUGAGUAACACGUGACUAACCUACCUCCGAGUGGGGAAUAACUCCGGGAAACCGGGGCUAAUACCGCAUAACAUCGCAAGAUCAAAGCAGCAAUGCGCUUGGAGAGGGGGUCGCGGCUGAUUAGCUAGUUGGCGGGGUAACGGCCCACCAAGGCGAAGAUCGGUAUCCGGCCUGAGAGGGCGCACGGACACACUGGAACUGAAACACGGUCCAGACUCCUACGGGAGGCAGCAGUGGGGAAUUUUGCGCAAUGGGGGAAACCCUGACGCAGCAACGCCCCGUGGAGGAUGAAGCCCUUUGGGGCGUAAACUCCUUUCCACUCGGACGAUUAUGACGGUACGAGUGGAAGAAGCACCGGCUAACUCUGUGCCAGCUGCCGCGGUAAUACAGAGGGUGCAAGCGUUGUUCGGAAUUAUUGGGCGUAAAGGGCGCGUAGGCGGUGCGGCAAGUCACCUGUGAAAUCUCCUGGCUUAACUGGGAGCCUGCAGGCGA